ACGGGAGGCAGCAGUGGGGGGUAUUGCGCAAUGGGGGCAACCCUGACGCAGCAACGCCGCGUGAAGGAAGAAGGUUUUCGGAUCGUAAACUUCUUUAAGUGUGGAAGAAAUUGGCGGUACACACAGAAUAAGCCACGGCUAACUACGUGCCAGCAGCCGCGGUAAUACGUAGGUGGCGAGCGUUGUCCGGAUUUACUGGGUGUAAAGGGCGUGUAGGCGGGACUACAAGUCAGAUGUGAAAUACCGGGGCUUAACUCCGGAGCUGCAUUUGAAACUGUAGUUCUUGAGUGCCGGAGAGGAAAGCGGAAUUCCUAGUGUAGCGGUGAAAUGCGUAGAUAUUAGGAGGAACACCAGUGGCGAAGGCGGCUUACUGGACGAUAACUGACGUUGAGGCUCGAAAGCGUGGGGAGCAAACAGGAUUAGAUACCCUGGUA
rnacentral:rRNA from 1 species